UACGUAGGGGGCAAGCGUUGUCCGGAAUCAUUGGGCGUAAAGCGCGCGUAGGCGGCCCGGUAAGUCCGCUGUAAAAGUCCAGGGCUCAACCCUGGAAAGCCGGUGGAUACUGUCGGGCUAGAGUCCGGAAGAGGCGAGUGGAAUUCCCGGUGUAGCGGUGAAAUGCGCAGAUAUCAGGAAGAACACCAAUGGCGAAGGCAGCUCUCUGGGACGGUACUGACACUGAGACGCGAAAGCGUGGGGAGCAAACAGG
rnacentral:rRNA from 1 species